rnacentral:tRNA from 1 species
GUCCCUGUAGCGCAUUGGGUAGCUCGUUGGACUUCUAAUCCGAAAGUCGUGGAUUCGAAUCCCACCCGGGAUG